UACGUAGGGUCCGAGCGUUGUCCGGAAUUAUUGGGCGUAAAGGGCUCGUAGGCGGUCCGUCGCGUCGGGAGUGAAAACUCGGGGCUUAACCCCGAGCCUGCAGUGGAUACGGGCAGACUAGAGGUAGGUAGGGGAGAAUGGAAUUCCCGGUGUAGCGGUGAAAUGCGCAGAUAUCGGGAGGAACACCGGUGGCGAAGGCGGUUCUCUGGGCCUUACCUGACGCUGAGGAGCGAAAGCGUGGGGAGCGAACAGG
rnacentral:rRNA from 1 species